GAAUCUUGCGCAAUGGCCGAAAGGCUGACGCAGCGACGCCGCGUGUGGGAUGACGGCCUUCGGGUUGUAAACCACUGUUGCCCGGGACGAACACACGGUUGCGACCGUGCUGACGGUACCGGGUGAGGAAGCACCGGCUAACUCCGUGCCAGCAGCCGCGGUAAUACGGAGGGUGCGAGCGUUGUCCGGAAUCACUGGGCGUAAAGGGCGCGUAGGCGGUGGGGUAAGCGUGUGGUGAAAGUCCGGGGCUCAACCCCGGAUCGGCCGUGCGAACUGCUUCACUUGAGCACUGUAGAGGCAGGUGGAAUUCCGGGUGUAGCGGUGGAAUGCGUAGAGAUCCGGAAGAACACCAGUGGCGAAGGCGGCCUGCUGGGCAGUGGCUGACGCUGAGGCGCGACAGCGUGGGGAGCAAACAG
rnacentral:rRNA from 1 species